UAGGAAACAGGGCAAAACACCAGCCAUAAAUGCUGACAAAACAUCAAAAUUUUCAUCUUGCUUCCACAAAUUUUUAAAGUUUUUCUUCUUCAAGUGUUCAAUUUAUAUUCCUAACACUUCUUAUCCAAUUUUUCCCUCACACACAGCUAGGUAAAAACAUGUUUAAGGGUUAGAAUAUAGAUGGGAGGGUAGAAGAAGAAACAGAGCAAAGAAAAACCUGACUCCUAUUUCUCAAGUUAAAAUUGGAAUACAUUUUCAAGAGCCCUGGGCAGGACAGAGAAAAAUUCCAUUCUGCCUCUUUGCUCUUCCAAAUUCCUAUAGCCAAGUGGCUCAACAGCAGUUGAAUGGCACACAUAAUGACAUCAUUGAUUGGAACUAUAAUAGAAGAGAGUGAGAAGAGCGGGUGGUGGGGGGGAGUGGGAAGGGAGGGAGGUGAAGAUGUAUUUGUGUUACAGACAAAAGACAAGUUCUGUUCCUCAGCAGGGACAAAUGAAGAACCAGAUGAGGGGAUAAACUGAGGUCAGAGAGUUUUCCCUAUUGUUUCCUCUUUAAACAGCUCCUUCACCACUCCCUCAAGGUGGUGGAAGGGAAUACAGACAGAAUCAAAUAGGCCUUCCAGAAGAGACUGAAUGGAAACCAACCCACCAUCAUUUAGCCACAGUGAAAUCUGUAUGCUAGGAAACACUGAUGCUCUCCUGUGCCUGGAACUGACUCUUUGUCCCAGCUGCUUCUCUGAUAGCUCAACAGAUUUCAGUGACAUCCUCAAAAAACAAGGAAAGUCCAGUAUCUCUCUCACUCUGAUGUGGUUCAUCCCCAAGCAAUGGUGAGCAAAAACAUGUAACUACAUGAAAAGUUCAUGAAACUAA